GGAUUGUAAAAAGGGGUCGCCGAGAACAAAAGGUUGAGAACCGCUGCUCUUAUAGAAAAAAAAACACUAUAUGGAGAACUUCCUGAUCUGGAAAUCACUGCGCGGUGCAUCUCAGAUACACAGGAUUACUGCUCUGAACCAUCCGACAUGGAAAAUGAGAACGAAGAAGAAAAAACAGUUAUCAGCUUACAGAGACCUAAUACUAUCGUGGUAAUUAAUAUAGAUCUAGAUACAAUGUCUAAGCUCGAUAGUAAGAGCCGCACUACAUUGGUAAGGGGUCAACAAAGAAUCGUUUAAUGAAUAUCUAUCCUGAUAAAGUCAGAAAUAAACUGACGUCACAAGGCCCUGAACAUGUGUUUUCGAAUCCGAAGAUUAAGUAUAAUGUAAGUUUUUUCCAGUGAGUACGCAGACCCACCUUUGACCUACAUAUUUUGACUCAACCGACGUGGAUUAUUUAAAAUGUUACUUUAAACAAAUAAAGCCAGAAUAGAGGUGAUGAAACACUAAACAAAACUUAGAGUACUUAGGCAUCCACAAUUAUCUAAUCUUAGUCUAAUUCUAAAUUCUGAAAGAAGCAUAAUGGUGGGAGACAUCACGUGACGCUGCCUUUGAAACUAGCGCGAAGGCGACAUUCUGUUCUAGCCUAAAUCUCUAGUUUAUAAACAACAGAAACAAACCUACACCUUACAGGCUAUCAGCGAUGCAUUGGGGAAUGUUAUGUGUUAUUAUCAUAAUUACUCGGCAUAUUGAGAUGUGGCGAGGUCUACACUGGAACAGCUUUGGUUUUUCUCUUUGUGCUUAGCCUCGUUUUAACAAUGAGACGUUUCUAAAAAAGUGAAAAUAUGCAGAUAAUUAUAAAGUCUACACACUUCAAAAUUUAAUAACACAAUAGAAUUUUAAAUUCAAAUAAUCCUCUUUUUUGGCGCUACGAAAUAAACGGGUGCACUACUUCCGGUUAACAUGACAGAAUCUCGCUAAAACUCCAGAACAUUAAAAUCCUUGAUUGAAAAACUUGGUACCAAAUAGAUCAACAGUUAAGUUUGGAAAUAAACUGAAACACCGGAAGUGAUAUAAUAUUCCCACUCACCACGACACCGGAACUGAUGUCAACACGAGAGCACAUGAUUCUAACGAGUCCUCCCCACGAGUGUGCAACCGAGUGGUGCACAUGACGGAGGGAAGCGAGUCUACAGAGAGGACAACAAAACAACAACAAAGUGCCGUAACUCGCUCCAACUAUCGUCCGCUGACGUCUUCACUAGUCAUACGAAGGCACGGUCAAUAGCUUCCCCCAGAAGUAGACAGUGGGAGGGGGGAGGGAGCAGGUGGAAUAGAAGGGGGUGAGGGCUGACUUCUUAAGAGCACAUCACAACGUUUCAUUCAGACAGUCUCUUUUUUUUUGCGUCUCUAUAUUUUUAUCUUAUUAAUUAUUAUUAUUUUGUGCUAAGCUGUAAUUUACCACUUUGGAAUUACGGAGUCCAAGGCACAUAACUCUAGACCUAAGGGACAUAACCUAUCUAUCAUUGAUGCAGUAUUGCACAGCAAGUUAGAAGGGAUCAUAGAGGAAAGAAGCUGGCAGCAGAGAUUCUCUGAAUGAGACAGUUGGAGAGCUCUCACAAAAGCCGCGGAACAAACAUUUCAGACUCAAAGAAAACCCAUUAUUGAAGUCAGGUGCAGAAGACGGCAAGGAAACCUAAUUAGACAGCCAGCUUUGCCUGCACUAGUUACGGGGAAAAAAAAGCAUGUCGCAACUGGGUGUUUAAGAUUGCAGCUCUCAACAUGACUAUAGACACAAAUGAGAAAGUGACUAAGACUUCAAACUUGUUCAAUUAUACACCCUCUUAAAGAAGAAAAACUAUGUGAAGAACUGCCUGAUCUGGAAACCACUGCGCGGGUUCAUCUCAAAUAAAGGAUUACUUAGCUUAACUCUCCAACAUGAAAAACGAGAGUGAAGAAGAAAUAGAGUUCAUUAUUCUACUUUCAAAGUUGACCUAAAUAAUUAAAAUAUUAUGUCAUGAUCAAACAGGGUGAAAGGUUUAUUUCUUCAGAUAAAAACAUUUUUUUAAUCACAUUAAUCUUUCUUAUCUUCUUAUCAUCUAGAGCCCAAAUGUUAUUUCUAAUAAGAGGAUAAUUAUGUCCUACACAUUUCAUGUGUCAAUCUAGUCCUGACUUAAAAUCUGCUAAGUCGUUGAUUUCCUUGGCUAAACUCUGCUAAGUCGUUGGUUUUCCUGGCUGAUUCAGAAAGCCCAUUCAAUUCUUUAAUUGUUCUAGGGAAGAAAGAGCACUUGUGUCUUUCUGAAUAUUUUAUUAGAUUUUGUUUUUCUCUGUGUAAGUUAUGGUUUAGUGUAUUAUGUAUUACUUUACUUUUUAUACUGCUGAGAAAAGAAAACAACACACAAAAGAGCAGAUCCCCAUCAGUUCACACAAUAACAGGGUCCUUCUACUCAUGAUCAUGGAAUAGUCAAAGUCAUUGGUCAGCCAUCUUAACUUUUGAAUCAUGAGUCUAAGUCUCACACACACACAUAUUUUAGGUUUAUGUUUAGUUUUGUAUACAGGUUGCACAUUCUAUGUUAACUUUGCCUAAUAUAAAUGUUUAAUUUUGGUCCCUGGAAAAAGGAGCUUCUAUAAGUUAACAGAAUGGGCUGAGUUGUCAUGAAGUUAAUCCCAGAUAUAGAGUCUAUGAAUUCCUUCUUUGGCAUCCAUUCAAUAAAAGUGAAGAAUGAAUCUCA
rnacentral:sRNA from 1 species